rnacentral:rRNA from 1 species
CCUACGGGCGGCUGCAGUGGGGAAUAUUGCGCAAUGGGCGAAAGCCUGACGCAGCGACGCCGCGUGAGGGAUGAAGGUCUUCGGAUCGUAAACCUCUGUCAGCAGGGACGAACGGUCACUGUGCUAAUCAGCAGUGCAUUGACGGUACCUGCAAAGGAAGCACCGGCUAACUCCGGGCCAGCAGCGGCGGGAAGACGGAGGGUGCGAGCGUUAAUCGGAAUUAUUGGGCGUAAAGCGUUCGUAGGCGGUAUGUCAAGUCAAGGGUGAAAUCCCCGCGCUCAACGUGGGAACUGCCUUUGAAACUGGCAAACUGGAGUGUGUGAGAGGAUAGUGGAAUUCCUGGUGUAGGGGUGAAAUGCGUAGAUAUCAGGAGGAACAUCAGUGGCGAAGGCGACUAACUGGGACAUAACUGACGCUGAGGAGCGAAAGCGUGGGUAGCAAACAGGAUUAGAUACCCGAGUAGUC